GUGGGGGGGGGACAAACACAUGCAAGUCGAGCGGUAGCACAGAGAGCUUGCUCUCGGGUGACGAGCGGCGGACGGGUGAGUAAUGUCUGGGAAACUGCCUGAUGGAGGGGGAUAACUACUGGAAACGGUAGCUAAUACCGCAUAACGUCGCAAGACCAAAGUGGGGGACCUUCGGGCCUCAUGCCAUCAGAUGUGCCCAGAUGGGAUUAGCUAGUAGGUGGGGUAACGGCUCACCUAGGCGACGAUCCCUAGCUGGUCUGAGAGGAUGACCAGCCACACUGGAACUGAGACACGGUCCAGACUCCUACGGGAGGCAGCAGUGGGGAAUAUUGCACAAUGGGCGCAAGCCUGAUGCAGCCAUGCCGCGUGUGUGAAGAAGGCCUUCGGGUUGUAAAGCACUUUCAGCGGGGAGGAAGGCGAUAAGGUUAAUAACCUUGUCGAUUGACGUUACCCGCAGAAGAAGCACCGGCUAACUCCGUGCCAGCAGCCGCGGUAAUACGGAGGGUGCAAGCGUUAAUCGGAAUUACUGGGCGUAAAGCGCACGCAGGCGGUCUGUCAAGUCGGAUGUGAAAUCCCCGGGCUCAACCUGGGAACUGCAUUCGAAACUGGCAGGCUAGAGUCUUGUAGAGGGGGGUAGAAUUCCAGGUGUAGCGGUGAAAUGCGUAGAGAUCUGGAGGAAUACCGGUGGCGAAGGCGGCCCCCUGGACAAAGACUGACGCUCAGGUGCGAAAGCGUGGGGAGCAAACAGGAUUAGAUACCCUGGUAGUCCACGCCGUAAACGAUGUCGAUUUGGAGGUUGUGCCCUUGAGGCGUGGCUUCCGGAGCUAACGCGUUAAAUCGACCGCCUGGGGAGUACGGCCGCAAGGUUAAAACUCAAAUGAAUUGACGGGGGCCCGCACAAGCGGUGGAGCAUGUGGUUUAAUUCGAUGCAACGCGAAGAACCUUACCUGGUCUUGACAUCCACAGAACUUAGCAGAGAUGGUUUGGUGCCUUCGGGAACUGUGAGACAGGUGCUGCAUGGCUGUCGUCAGCUCGUGUUGUGAAAUGUUGGGUUAAGUCCCGCAACGAGCGCAACCCUUAUCCUUUGUUGCCAGCGGUUCGGCCGGGAACUCAAAGGAGACUGCCAGUGAUAAACUGGAGGAAGGUGGGGAUGACGUCAAGUCAUCAUGGCCCUUACGACCAGGGCUACACACGUGCUACAAUGGCAUAUACAAAGAGAAGCGACCUCGCGAGAGCAAGCGGACCUCAUAAAGUAUGUCGUAGUCCGGAUUGGAGUCUGCAACUCGACUCCAUGAAGUCGGAAUCGCUAGUAAUCGUAGAUCAGAAUGCUACGGUGAAUACGUUCCCGGGCCUUGUACACACCGCCCGUCACACCAUGGGAGUGGGUUGCAAAAGAAGUAGGUAGCUUAACCUUCGGGAGGGCGCUACCACCUUG
rnacentral:rRNA from 1 species